CAAAUGGGCACCAGAGGACUUGCAUCAUCGACCGUCAGCCUCAUCAUCAUCAUUGCCUUUAUGAUCACCACCACCACCAUCGCUGUGAAUAUCCUCAUCGUCAGACCUCCACCGCUGCCACCACCACAUCAUCCUUUCCAUCUCCUGCUGAGCCCCAGGAGGCCUGUCCUUGCCCCUCCAGGAGGAUACACUGUAGUCUCCACCUUAUAAUAGAGAGCAAGCCUGCAGGUGGGCACCCGGAGGUCUCUGUGGACCAGCUACAAGACCCUGAACAAACUACUCAGUCACCCAUGCCUCCGUUUUCUCACCUGUGAGCACUAGGAAACACACAAGUAUCAUACAAUGGAAAAAUCACGUUUUAAAAAGAGAGAUGCAUAGUUGCACAUCUCAGCUCUGGGCAACCUAGUAGCCAAGGAUCAUAGAUUGAGGCCAGAGUUUAUUCUACUUGUAACCUAGUACUACAAUCCUUUCCACAAUGUCCUGACCCCUGGGCAACCUCUUCUAGUUGACCUCUCCAAUGAUGGGAAACUUACUCCCUGAUGGGCAGUGCCUACCAUAUUUUGACUGCUUCUGAGCAUCAGAAACAUUGAUGCCUGUUUUCUGAAGCCCUGUCAUGCUGAGCUCUGGAAUACAGAGAGGUGACAGAGAUUGGGCCCUGCUGGAAUCAGAAUGGCUGGCUGCUCCAGCUCGCAGACUUAGCAUCCCACAGAGGAUCUGUGGGGCGUGUUAGCUGAUGGAGAAGAAGGAUUGCUUCACUCUCA
ensembl:lncRNA